rnacentral:rRNA from 1 species
GACGAACGCUGGCGGCGUGCUUAACACAUGCAAGUCGAACGGAAAGUCCCUGCUUUUUUGCGCUGCUCUAGUUGCGAACUGGUGAGUUACACUUGAGUUACCUGCCCUUGCCUUUGGGAUAACUUCAUGCAACUUGGGCUAAUACCGGAUAGGAGCUCCUGCUUCAUGGUGGGGCUUGGAUAGUUUCGGCGGUUGGGGAUGGACUCGCGUCUUAUCAGCUUGUUCGUUGGGUAGUGGCUUACCAAGGCUUUGACGGGUAGCCGGCCUGAGAGGGGAACCGGACAAACUACGACUGAGAUACGACACAGACUCGAACGGGACGCAGCAGAGGAGAGGAGUGCACAAGGGGCGGAAGGAUGAUGCAGCAAAGCAGCGUGGGGGAAGACGGGAAUCGGGUUGGAAACCGAUGUCGCCUGUGACGAAGCGUGAGUGACGGUAACGGGUAAAGAAGCACCGGCUAACUACGUG